rnacentral:rRNA from 1 species
CCUUGUGGUCGGUAUACAGGUGGUGCAUGGCUGUCGUCAGCUCGUGUCGUGAGAUGUUGGGUUAAGUCCCGCAACGAGCGCAACCCUUGUUCUGUGUUGCCAGCAUGCCCUUCGGGGUGAUGGGGACUCACAGGAGACUGCCGGGGUCAACUCGGAGGAAGGUGGGGACGACGUCAAGUCAUCAUGCCCCUUAUGUCUUGGGCUGCACACGUGCUACAAUGGCCGGUACAAUGAGCUGCGAUGCCGCGAGGCGGAGCGAAUCUCAAAAAGCCGGUCUCAGUUCGGAUUGGGGUCUGCAACUCGACCCCAUGAAGUCGGAGUUGCUAGUAAUCGCAGAUCAGCAUUGCUGCGGUGAAUACGUUCCCGGGU